rnacentral:lncRNA from 1 species
AAAUGGAAUGAGAAGAAAGACUACCACAUUCUGCAGGAAGUGUUCAAUGUCACCCGAGGUACAACACUUCCCCUGGAUGUGUGGGAUGGCUGGAAAGACUGCUUGACUGCAUGUCUCUUAGGAAACAAAGUACAGCAUUAUCUGCCUGAGGAAAAGCCAGUACUUAAGUAUGCUAAUGGAACUGAUGGAAACAAACGAUGUGGAGAUCCUAACCCAGUAGUGGUUUCGCACAUUAAAAUCUGUGCUGAGUUCAGACUACUUCUGUCAAAAACGCUGUCUCUCCAGCAGUUGUGUAUGACUGAUAGCUCAUGGCAGUAUCACACGAUCCUUUGCAUAACAUUUCGAAACUCAAGCAUAAAGCGUGAGCAGCUAUGGAAUUCCUCAAGCUACGUGAACAGGUGCAUCUUCCGGCGAUCCGUUAAAGGCUUUUACUAG